UACGUAGGGCGCAAGCGUUGUCCGGAAUUAUUGGGCGUAAAGAGCUCGUAGGCGGCCAGUUGCGUCUGCUGUGAAAUCCCGGGGCUCAACCCCGGGCGUGCAGUGGAUACGGGCUGGCUAGAGGCAGGCAGGGGAGAACGGAAUUCCCGGUGUAGCGGUGAAAUGCGCAGAUAUCGGGAGGAACACCGGUGGCGAAGGCGGCUUCCUGGUCCGACACCGACGUCAGGCACGAAAGCGUGGGGAGCAAACAGGG
rnacentral:rRNA from 1 species